rnacentral:tRNA from 1 species
GGGCGGUUAGCUCAGUUGGUUAGAGCGCUCGUUUGACAUGCGAGAGGUUCAGAGGUUCGAAUCCUCUACCGCCCACCA